CCGAGGUGAAGCAACGCCCGGCCCGUGGCGCAGGGCCCGGGCGCCGUGCGGGGAGGUCAGCGGGUCCCCCCCGGCCGCCGCCCACCCCCGUCCCCUCCGGAGGGGCCUCGGGCCUGGGCGCCGCCUGCCCGGCGGGUCGGUCCCGGGCCGGGCUGGGGCUGCGCCUCGGGCCCCGGGGGAGACGCUGCCCCGGGCCCCGGCCCCUUCAGCGGCACCUGCGUCCGCCCGGGGGAACCGAGCUCCCGGUGGCCCCUCGCCCCCGGCGCGUCCAGGCUGGCACCUCAACAGCAGGAAUCGAGCAGCCCGGGGAGAGAUGGAGCCGGGGGUGGUGCCACGGCGGUGCCCAGCUCCCAGGGCGGGCGGUGGGCGAGCACCUCUCGGCCCCGGCCCCGCUACGGGGCAGCUCCGAGGGCGCCGGGGGCUUCGCCUCCCGCCGGGCUGCGGGGCGGGGGAAGGGCACGGCCGCUCCGCCGACAUCGCCCCCAGGGCCGGUCUGGGGGCGGCGGAGCGCGGAUGAGGAGCAGCGAUUUGGUUUCUCAGUUAGGUGUAAAUCGGGGGAUCCAGAGCAGGGUAGUUGGAGCUGGACAGGACCUCAGGGGAUCAUCUCAUCCAGCACGCUCACGUGAAGGCCACCGCCGGUCCACACUGCUGCAAAGACGCCAUCCAUCGGGCCUGGCUGCUGCGGUGUGCCGUGGGUGCAGCAGCUUCUAAUGCAUCUGGCUGUAGACCUGUCUCAAGAAGCGAAUAAAUCUUGGGCUGCUGAUACGUACCAGGUCCACCAUGCGAUUUGCACUGCAGUCCCUCGGGGGGAGGAGGCGAUGGGAGCAAACACCAGAGGGAAAAGCAAUUUUCGAAGUGUCCCACCAGAAGACAAAAACAUAGAAGAGCCAAAACAAAUUCCCGUAGAACAUGUCUGUUCUCUAGACCUGUAACGCUUCCGUGAACCACAUCCUUUGGAGCGCAGGUGAAGUGAAGGACCCUUGUGGUGCCAUCUCCAGCCUCCAGAGCCAGACCCCGGAGCCAAAAGCAGCACUGCUGAGCCAAAGCUUCCCAGCCAGUGCCGGAGAGGAGUGGGCAGCCAGGCGCUGGGAUGGGCUGGGAGAUGGGAGCCUGGAUGAGCUGGUGUUCCCAGGGAUGGAGCAGAAGUGCCGUGCAAUGGCAUAGCCCUUUCUUCCCCCUCCUUCUGCCUACUCACAUCAGGGCUGCAUCCAGACCUAACCUCGACGUUUGAGACAUCUCUCUUCCAAACAGAGAGUGUGUUUGAUGUCUAGAGGGCAGACUGAAAAUACAGGUGUUUGAAAUCUUCUUCCACUCUUGCAUCCCUGCCAUCCCAUCGGAGCACAGAAACCUCACUCAGGACUUCAUGCUUGAGUCCAAUACGUUGUAAGUAAGACAGUAGUGCUCCUUCCUUCUGGCUGGUGUCGGUCUUCUAAGUCACUGUCUUUUAUUUUAGAGCAUUCACUGAGGAAGUGGGAGACCUGGGUUCAAUGCGUUCCUCAAUCUGAGAGUGCUCGUCUCUCACUUCCCAUGAGACUGUCUAACUGCCGGCUCAUCAGCUAUUCCGGGUGAAGCACUUGAGAGUGAAACCAUGCCUUCCACCAACGGGAUGUUUGCUCUCCCCGUCCCGCUGUUGGUGCUGAUGGCGGCUGGAGGGAGGAAGAAGGAAAUGAAGCUUUUCUGGUGAUGGGACAGGAGGUGGCCGUAGCCUGUCUGGGAUGGAUGUGUGCAGUGUUUGGCUGCUUACCCUGUUUCCAGUCCACACUGACACCCGGCUCAGGGCCCUUGAGCGUCAGAGGCUCUCGCUCACUCUUCAGUGAUCUCCAAACUGUGACUUUGCAAAUAUGCUGAUACUGGUAGGUUUGAAGAAGAUGGCUGGGUAUGAGGUUGGUGAGAAGCCGUCCUCUGGCACUAAGCCUUGACAUUUUUCCCUUCUUUGUCAGGGACUUGAAUGCUUCAAUGCUCAGAGUUAACCCAACAGCUUCACAAGCGAUUCAAUAAUAUUUAUUUUUACCCAAAUCCCUCGAAGUCUGAGGGACUGGAGACAGCAUCAGUUUGAGAUGAACAGCCAAGAAAAGUAAAUCACCCUUGGGUCAGGGUGAACUCUCAUUUGAAGAGGCCACAGAUGGCAAAGAUGUUCAUGAAUCAGCAGUUUCACAGACCUCUGCCCAUUCAGAGACUAAUGUGCACAAACAGACAUGAAAACAGCACAGAGCCGCAGAACUUUCCAGAUCCUUCCUGUUCCCUCUGCGCUGCUGAGGGGGACCUCCACGGAGGAGGAGGAGAGGGCUGAGGUGCUGGGCACUGAGCUAGUCCCAGGGGUGGUCACCUGCACCCUCUGCCAGAGCCAGAGCACAGGGUGAGGGCGAGCCGCUGCUCCCCAUGUCCCUGCUCCCCUGACGCACACCCAGCUGUGCUCGUCAGCGAAGGAGACGCUACCGACAGGCCUGGUGCCUGAGAUAAAGGGGAGGAAGGAGGGGUUAGGCGAGGACACCAGCUGUUGCACCAUCGCAGGGCUGCAGGUGCGGGACGCUCCUGUGCGUUUGGGUUGAGCGCGGGGGCCUGCCCCACCAGGGAGCUGAUGGACGCGAGGAGGUGAGGGAGAGGGAUGCAGCCGGCCCCAGUGACACCAUCCUGCUCGUCGGUACCCGCGUUGGAUCCGCGUGCCCAUGAGUCCGGCGCCUCAGCAGCCCGUCAGGGUACUGAUGUCAUUACUGGGGUCCCGCACUGUCGUCCUGGUCCCUGCUUGUGGGAUCGUCUGUCCUUCCCUGCUGCCCGAGGGAGCCAGGCCCGGCGGAGGCUGCCGUGUCUGAGGGCGCAGAGCUCGCAGCUGGUGAGACAGAGUCACAAAAGCUCUUCAGAAAGCACUGUAUAAUUCCAUGGCUGUGUGAACGACUGCAGGCCAAGGGUGUGUGCCUGGACGGAGUGUGCCUUACCCCUCAGAAACCCCCAAAACUCCCACCGAGCUGGUGUGGGGAGAUUCUUCCUGCCCCUCUUUGAUGUUUGCCAAAUGUUAUGCCCGGAGAGUGCAAGACCAGAGGGCCGUGCAGAGGACCCCUGCCUUGUUUCGCUUGUGUAUUCUAGGAUCUGCUGGCCAGGAGGGCUCCCAAAGAGACGCAGCGUCGCUUCCAUUCCUGCCCAAAUGUCAGCCCGGGGGCUGCUGCUGCUGCAGGAUAACAUAUGGGGACAGACAGGUUACGUGACAUGCUCGAGGUCACAUGAGCCGUCUGUGUCAGAGAAGGAACUGCACCUGGAUCUCUCAGUUGUGAGGCUGUUGCUCCUGGCACUGCGUCCUCCUGACCGCAGACAACACAUCCAGAUUGACUUGGCCUGUGUCCUCUCUAUGCCUCCAAAUGUAAAAAAAAAAAAAAACAAACAGAGGCCACUUUCCAAGCACCACUUGUCCUUAGCCACUGAGCAGUAUUCUGGAGAAGGGCUGGAGUCCGUCCUUUGUAGUUCAUCUACUGGCUGCGGGUAGGAUCCACUACAAAAGGGUUUGCCAUUAAUGAGCCUCUUAAAGCGCUUAUCAAAAAAGCAAUGCCCGUGCCCGCUGCCAGCUAACCACAGCUUCUCAUUUGUAACCCUUGGUGUUCACGUCCUUCAACUGUACUGGCCUGAGGCACACACCGAGUCCUCAAAACAGGGGAUGUGAUGGACGCAGUGCUGGAGCAGGCGCAGCUGGCGUGGCAGCGGUGGUGUGCACCCGUGGCGCCGGGCUGGGAGGGUGUUUUGCCUUGUGUGUAGUUAUUUCUUGAGGGAAGGCAGCAGGGGCACACACACACACAUACACACAGGUCACCUUUGGAGGCGGAAGCCAUGCAGAUUGCAAACUACAAUUCCGAGCUUCCUGAAAUGCAAUUUUGAAAGGCAAUGAUCCUUUAACAAAUCAACAAUCCCUGCGCCGGCAGUCCUGACUGCCUUUUAACCACGGGGCGGUGGGGGGAGCUGGGGGGGGGAACAGGCUGGUGAAGAAGGAUUUUCCCUGCAGAGCAGGUCACGUUUGGCUGGGAGCUCGGAGCAUCUUCCCAGUGCCAGAGCCUUAACAAAGAGUCUUCUUGAGCCCUGUAGUCCUAGAGGGCACCGGGGCCUGCCUGCAUUCAAGGCAGGGAAGGGGGGGAAUGGCUUUCUGCAGAGCUGCCCCUCUGGCACCAAGCAGAAGACAGUGAGGCUGAGGUGAGGGAUGUAGAGUAUACAGGGAAGAACACGUGGGAGCUGUUGUAGGGUCUUUGCGGUGGGAUGGAAAGCGUAUUCAUGCAGCUGAGCGCUCACACACCGCAGAAGGCAGCACCAGUGGCUCCCAGCUGCCAGGAAAGGGGUAUUUUGGAUGCCCCAGAGCCCUCGUGUUUGCCUUACUGUUCUGCAUUAUUGACACAAGAGAAGAGGAGGAGGGGAGCGGAGGACACCCGGUGUCCUGGGGAAGCAGGCAUGGCUGGCGCUGCCCUCCGUGUCUGUACCUGCCUGGUGGGCCGCAGCGGGGUGGUUGGCCAGCAGUGCCGUUCACAGAGAUCCUUCAGCUGAUCCAGUGUGGGCAGGGGCUUCAUCCCAGACCACCUGGUGUGGGCAGCAGGGAGUACAGUGGAAUUGAUGCUCCCUUCUCUGAAAUCUGGCUGAGCUGGGCAUCUGGGCAAAUAGCUCGUAGCUUUAGCAAGGUUAAGAGGAUGGCAGCGUGAAGUCCUAGAUCCCGUGCUUCCACGCUGCUCUGCAGGAGCACGUGGCCGUGCCAUACGUCACACGUCGCGGCAGGGAGAGCAGUGAGCGUAACUAGGUGGCAGCCUUUGCAGAGUGGCGAUGCCACAUGAAGAUGCACGUGUUCGUUACUCAUGAGAUGCACAUUUACUGCCCAUCCCCGCCUUUCUGCAGUAGUAUACACCCAGGGUGGUGGAGCUUUCUGCUCCUGCCCCUGGAUGUUGUGCUGUUUCCCCUUGUUGUGCUUUGUUAUGGGUAACAUCUGUUGUUCCCGAGUUGCCUGGCGAGCUGCAGGAGUCUUUAACAACACCGACACACUGCAGUCUUCCUCUAAAUACUAGUGAGGAUUUACUUCUUCCCCUAAAUACCAGUGAGGAUUUACUUCUUCCCCUUACAGCAAUGGGAAAACUGGGGUACCAGGAUGUCAUGUGACUGUCCUGAAGCUGUGGGAUUAGCUAGAAAUUGUUAAGCAUUCCCUGAACCCAAGCCUCAGCGUUAGUCAUCGCCGCCUUGUCACCCCUCAGUGGCAUCAUGACAGUGAACUUCUGGACCGUGCAGGCUUUUGCACACAAAUGCAUUUAAUGAAAAUGGUGCUGCACACACCGCUGCAGAGACAAACACUCCUCUAACCGGUAGCCAGGAUGCCUGGGAAAAUAUGCAGGUGGUUUCAGAAAAUCAUAAGUAGCCUAUUAUCACAGAGGCGAGGCAAAAAAAAACCCUUGGGAUUUUUCUUCCGUGCCCAUCUGUUAAUUUUCCCCCGAAGCCAUUAUUGAUUUGCACAGGGGGGCAUACUAACGCCCUGCAAACGGUGCUGGGAAUCAGCGCUCUGCACUGCUCUUGCUGGACCAAGCAAGCUUCUCUGAUGGGAAAUGGCAGGGUGACAUGAUUCUUCAACUUGGACCUUGGAGCUUCACGCACCUGGCCAUCAUCAGCCUCAGAGAAACAACUUCUGCUUCCCCUAAAUACUGUGCUUUGCUGCACCUCAGCCUGUGGCAGAGGUGAGCCCGAGCCCUUCUUGUUCACCCACCAGCUGCCUUUUGUAUAGUUCAUAUAGCCCAUAGCCUUUCUAAUAAAGAGGUCUUGCUUAUAGCCUGCCAUAUUUGCAGACAUUUAUUGAUACUCAGGUAUCUGGCUGUGCUUCAGGAGUAGCCCAAGAUCAUCACAAAAGGCUGUGCUAUUUUAGGGGCCAAGUGCUAAGACUGCUGCUUGUCUGCUGUCCCCUUUGGCCCUUACAAUUUGACCGAUGCAUACACACUUGUGACACAAUAAAAAUACCGCUCAACCUUCGUGGCAACAAGUGUCAGCCUUUUGUACGUGUAUCUGCAGCCCUCUGUAGCUAAUGUGGGUCUUGGGGUGGGACCCACCAGUGCUGUGCUUCUGCUCCUGCUUGUGCCGAGCCGUGGAGCAGACGUGUCUUGGGGGGGGAAGCCACUGCAAUGCCCUACAGCGCGCUUGGCAGCUGCCCCGGCUUUCAGCUGCAGAGCCCCUCGUGCUGCCCGUGAUGGCGAACGCAAUGGAAAUCCAAAGAUGAGCCGUGGCGUUAGUGGUAAAAACCAGGUGGGGCUCCUUUUGGCUGAAGCACACAAUUCAGAAGCAUUUUCCCAGCUUUGUCUUUCUUUUAUCAUUCUUCUGAAGUAUCAGAAGGAGGUGUCGCCCACAAAUCGUGGCCUGGGGGCAACGUGAACAGCUUUGCUCUUCAUCCUGGCGUCUCAGCCAGAAGGAAGCCUGAGAGCGUUUGUCAGAAGCGGCUUGGCCUGUGGCUCUCUCCUGAUGAUCUCUGCCUGUGUGCCGGGUGUGCUGAGUGGUUGCCAAAGGAACUUCCUGAGCACUGCACCAAACGGGGGAAUUCACUGUGGAACAGUUGCUGCGAUGGUCCCGGCUGAGACGAACGCACGGCGCGUGUGAGGGAGAGCAUCCCCAGGGCGGGAGCCGCUGUGCCUCUGGGGCAGGGGAAGGCUGUGUUUCUGCGUAGCGAUGGCAGCGGGGCAGAUUUUCCCAGUGCCUUUCUCCCCUAGCACGUGCCAAUUCACAAAACUCCUCCCGUUGUGCGCCAAGACCCGAGUGCCCAGGCUGAGCAACUGUGUGGUGUAGCUCUUUGCAGAUGCGAUUACGAAUUGUUGAAGUUAUACCCAAGAGUACUUUGAUGUCUCAGUAUUAAGCUCUGUGUUUUUUGAUUUCCCCUGCCCAGCUUCUGCCUUUAGAGCCAGCCGUCCCUGCAGCGUGCCCAAGGCAAGCCUGGCACUUCCAGACAAGGACCAAAGCAUUCAGUGUGGUGGCCAGAGAGACUGAUAGGGCAAUUUUAAGUCUUAAAUGCUACUGCUGCAGUGACCCAGUCCAACAGCUCCUCUGGAAGGUGAGCAUGGGCAGCCUUUCUGUCACAGUAAAGACAUCUGAUCUGCACCACGGCUCACCAGCAGCCGGGAAGCCACAAGCAGGGUGACAGUUCUCCUCAGGCUGUUUGUUCCCAUCUGCCACCUCCAGCAGAGCACCCAGACCUCGAGGGACGGAGCUGGACACUCCGAACCCGCUCUCUGCUGAGGAUCUGCUGCUCUGCACAACGUGCUGCUGAAUCAUGGGGCCGGAGAGCAAGUGCACGUGCAUGGCUGUCUUACCUCCUGGUUCCAGCAUUCCCAUGGGAGUCUGAGAUUCUGGACUCUGCUCCCAGGACUGUUUAUGCAUUUUACGUGAAACAGUCACCAGAGGCACCCCAUGCUUUCUUAUAAGGUGUUUUAUCACGCUGGCUGUUGCGCUGGUGUCUACGACCUGCGGAUGAUCUUCUCUGGUAUUAUCCUUGGUGUGUUCCAAAGCCACUGGGACCCUCCGGCAAAUGCAGACUCCAGCUUGCCCACGGCAAGGCCGAGCUCUGCAGCGGCUGCCGGUUGUGCCCGAGCACAGCCAGCUGCAGGGCACCGCGGCGGCGUGGCUGGCUCUGGAUGGGGCUGGUGUGUCUUUGAUACCCCACCUGCGUGUCUGCAGAGCGCUGGCGGGCUGGGGAGCAGCGGACAAGGAGGGGUUAUUCAGAGCGGCACUGCUGUCCCGCGGGACGGUGCCGGGUCCGAGAGGGCA